rnacentral:rRNA from 1 species
GAUGAACGCUGGCGGCGUGCCUAAUACAUGCAAGUCGAGCGAACAGACGAGGAGCUUGCUCCUCUGACGUUAGCGGCGGACGGGUGAGUAACACGUGGAUACCCUACCUAUAAGACUGGGAUAACUUCGGGAAACCGGAUCUAAUACCGGAUAAUAUAUUGAACCGCAUGGUUCAAUAGAGAAAGACGGUUUUGCUGUCACUUAUAGAUGGAUCCGGGCCGGAUUAGAUAGUUGGUAGGGUAACGGCUUACCAAGGCUACGAUGCGUAGCCGACCUGAGAGGGGGAUCGGCCACACUGGAACUGAGACACGGUCCAGACUCCUACGGGAGGCAGCAGUAGGGAAUCUUCCGCAAUGGGCGAAAGCCUGACGGAGCAACGCCGCGUGAGUGAUGAAGGUCUUCGGAUCGUAAAACUCUGUUAUUAGGGAAGAACAGAUGUGUAAGUAACUAUGGACGUCUUGACGGUACCUAAUCAAAAAGCCACGGCUAACUACGUG